UCCCUCUACGCUUUUUCGUCAUACACACACUUGCAGACAUCUCCUUCACUCUCACACAUAAAUACGCAGACUCCUCCUUCCUCUCUCCUCCUCCUCCUCAUCAGUUGGUCCUGUGACUCCUUGCCGGGACGGUAUAACAGCAGUUUACAGAGCGUGGACCGGCGGUGGAUGGGGACGGAAAGUAGCCGCAGCAGCAGCAGCAGUCGGGCGCACCGACCGAAGCAUGCCCCAGCGCAGCCAUGACUUGCUCGGCGUCAGAUAGCGAGAAGAUCGUGAUCAACUGCGGUGGGAUCCGACACGAGACCUACCGGAGCACCCUGAAGACGCUGCCGGGGACGCGCUUGUCUUGGCUUACCGAGCCCGACGCCUACAGCAACUUCGACUACAACCCCAAGUGCGACGAGUUCUUUUUCGACCGCCACCCGGCCACCUUCGCUUUCAUCCUCAACUAUUACCGCACCGGUAAGCUCCACUGCCCCGGUGAUGUUUGUGGGCCCCUCUUUGAGGAGGAGCUUGCCUUCUGGGGCAUCGAUGAAACGGACGUGGAGGCGUGCUGCUGGAUGAACUACCGGCAGCAUCGCGACGCAGAGGAAGCCCUGGACAGUUUUGAGACCCCCGAGCCAGAAGAACCCUUAGAUGACCCGGCACUCACCGGCGGGGCAGAUGGUGACCUGAAGCGGCUGUGCAUGCAGGAGGAUGGCCGCAGGGCGACGUGGUGGCAGGUGUGGCAGCCCAAUAUGUGGGCGCUGUUCGAAGACCCCUACUCAUCCAAAUACGCACGGUAUGUGGCAUUUGGGUCACUCUUCUUCAUCCUCCUCUCUAUCUCCACCUUCUGCUUGGAGACCCAUGAAGCCUUCAACACCAUCUACAAUAAAACGGAGACAGUCAUCGAUGGAAAUGUGACACGUGACGAGAUCGUGUAUGAGGUCGUCACUGAUGGCUGGCUGACCUGGGUGGAAGGCACGUGUGUCAUUUGGUUCACCAUUGAGGUGAUGAUGCGUGUCCUUUUCUGCCCUGACAAGGGAGAAUUCUUCCGCAGCGCCCUGAACAUCAUAGACUUUGUGGCCAUUGUGCCAUUCUACCUGGAGGUGGCACUAAGUGGCCUCUCCUCCAAAACAGCCAAAGACGUGCUGAGCUUCCUGCGUGUGGUGCGAUUUGUUCGUAUCCUGCGUAUAUUCAAGCUAACCCGCCAUUUUGUUGGUUUACGAGUUCUUGGCCACACUCUGCGGGCGAGCACCAAUGAGUUCCUGCUGCUCAUUAUCUUCUUGGCGCUGGGCGUCCUCAUCUUUGCUACUAUGAUUUAUUACGCUGAACGCAUCGGUGCAGACCCUGAUGAUCCAACAGCUGCAGCCCACACAGCUUUCAAGAACAUCCCCAUUGGCUUCUGGUGGGCUGUGGUGACCAUGACAACACUGGGCUAUGGGGACAUGUACCCUGAGACAUGGUCUGGAAUGCUGGUGGGUGCUCUCUGCGCCUUAGCUGGUGUGCUAACCAUCGCCAUGCCUGUGCCCGUCAUUGUCAACAACUUCGGCAUGUACUACUCCCUGGCCAUGGCCAAGCAGAAGCUCCCCAAGAAGAGAAACAAGCACAUCCCCAGAGCACCGCAGCCAGGCAGUCCCAACUACUGCAAGCCAGAUGCCCUGGCAAUGGCAACUGCCUCACCGCACAGGCUGAUGGGCAAUGUUAUCGGGCCAGGCAUGGUGGGAUCUGGCAGCAUGAUGGGUACUGGGGACUGCCCACUGGCGCAGGAGGAGAUCAUAGAGAUCAACAGGGCAGACUCCAAACAGAAUGGGGAUGCAGCGGCCAAUGCAGCAGCCUUGGCCAAUGAGGACUGCCCCACCAUUGACCAGGUCCUAGGGGACGAGCGUAGCCCAGCAACUGGGGGUCUUGGCUCCGUCACCAGCCGUGAGCGUUACCCGCAUGACCGGGCCUGUUUCCUGCUGAGCACCGGGGAAUUCCAGCGCACGACGGAUGGGAACGUUCGGAAAGUAGGAGGCCCCAUGAACGGCUACUGGAGUGACAGCCCCUGGUAGAAGAAGACUGGACAACAAAAAGCCAAAUGGGAAGAAGAGGAGAGAGAGAACAUGAACAACAGACAGCAUACAAACCUAGAAAUAUGCAAUGUAGAUAAAUGAGACAGCAGUUGUGGGAUCUGCCUAUUUCUGUUCGGACAUGUAAUGUUGAAUCAGCAGCACACUGAACGAGUGUGCUGAGGAUAUUUGUGUGGGAAUGUGUGUGUCAGUGUGUGCGUGUGUGUGUGCCUAGACCUGCAUCUACCUUUGAACUAGGAUGCACAAAUAUGAUUUGAUGGAAAAAAUGACUUUUCUUUUUGUUUCUUGAGAGAGGAAAAAAAUCUUCAGUUUAGUUUUACUGUUACCUAUAAAGAAUCUAUAUGUGAUGAUGUCAUCCUUUCAGUGUGUGUAUGUCUGUACUUAUUUAAUUUAUUCUCCACAAAAUUGAAAGGUUGUUUUUUAAUGAAAAACAUUUAAACUGAUAUUUUCUGAUGUUGCAGCAAUGUCAUGUAACAUUGUCACACUUCUUAAUUGUUGUAGACAGUACUGAUGUGUCUUUGGUUAAGUUUAAUUUCGGUUUUAAUGUCCUGUAAUUAUCUCUAUAGCUCUCACCUUCUUUUUCUUCCGCCAGAAUGAAAAAUUCACAGAAAAAAAAAGGAUGUCAGUUACCUUGAAAUCAUUCCUUUUGUAUUAUUAUAGAUUCCCAUCACUUCCAACUUAGUAAAGACUGACUUAGUUUAGUUUAAGAAUAAAUGUGUCAAGAGACAGAUAGUACAAAUAUGCUAAUUGUGGAAGAAAAAAACAGCCGAGGAUUUACUUUCUCAGAUUAAUGUUUCAGAGCUCUGAAAGCAUCUCCUAUCUGUCACUUGUUUUUGCGUUCAGGCUGCAGUGUUGGAAGGUGAGAGCACCAAAUGAACGGAAAGGUUUCCCAAAUUGGGAAAAAAAAAAAACACAUACUGUGAUUCCUUUUUCUGCCGAGAGUAAGAUGAGGAAACAUAUCAAUUCAAUGCCUGUGCGGUGUAUUUGGAUCUUAAGCCAGAGAGCAAACGCCUGGCAUUAAAUCAAAGCUUACACCAACACCUCAAAGGUUUGUUCUUUUUUACCUUUCAUCAUCUUCAUUCAGCAAGGCGCAUCUGAACUGUCCUUUACAGCAUCUGUGAUACUGACUUGGAUGCUUAUUUUGACUUACAAAAAACAAAGUUUAAACUUAUUUCACCCACCACAAAGAUUAAAAGCAGACUUCUGAGAGUAUCAUUUAGUACCACCAAACACACAGCAUCCGUUUGACAUGGUUGCUGCUUAAUAGUCACAAAGAAGCUACACCAUAAAGCCUGCACUACUUUAUGUCUAUUUUAUUCUAUAAUAAACCUAAACCUACUGAAAGAAUAUCUUGCUACUUUAAAAGAGAGCGAUUGAGUCCAAAAACUAAUUUGGAAUUUUUUUGUGUAGAAUAACUAACUGAGUGAGACGUUGGGUCAUUUUCCCAUUGAUUAGCAUACAAUGAGGUUUCUCUUUACAAGUAGUGGUGUCGCCCCCUUUUGGUGGUAGCUUGAAUGCAGAUUUAAGGCAUUGUGGUACUGGUUUGUCUUUUGGAACCUUGACGCCAAUCUACUUAUAUACAGAAAAUAGAUCGACAUCUUAAUUAGUACACUUUAGAGGUGGUGGUGUAACUUUCACUUUAGUUUUCAAUCUGUAUGGCAAACAAUCAUCCUAAUGACUCCUAACUCUAGCUCUGCACUGCAGAGGACUGAGUUCACACCAAUGCCUCAUCUUGCUCUCAAAAAGAACAUGAAUACCCUUUUUGUCUGAAAUGUUAAGCUAUUCCCUUCACCUUAACUGAGCCUUAUUAAUGGCUCUGCAGGGUUUCCUGUUUCACCUCUUGUUCGAGCGGGGCAUCAGAAGUCAUAAUUUUGAAGUUUUGAAUUCAGCUCAUGCUCAGGAUUAAAUUUGCUACCCCAAAUGCACAUCAGACAGAUGAACACACACACACACACACACACACACACACACAAACAAACACAUGCAAAUAUGUAAACACAAAUGCCAGUCUCUCUUCUGAACCUGUCUAUUGUUCCCUACCAUAUCACCCUUUGCCUAUCCUCCCUUCACUUCCCAAAGUCCACUCCUUUUUAGUCUGUCAUUUCCUCAAGGCCACUGAGAUUUGUGUCCUUUGUCAUGAUGAUGUACAUAUGUAAAGUUUGUGUUUUAGAGUAAUCUGCAUGGGGAUUCCAUCGCAAGCAAUAAUGAUACUGAUAUGACUAAUAAUGUGAGGAAGUUUGAUAAGAUUUUAGUCUUGAUCAUAACGAAUGUGUAUAUAAUAUUUAGACUACUAAGAGUGUGUAUGAAUGUGUUUUAAGAUGCAUACAUAUGCACUAACAAAGCAUGCAGGACAAAAGAGCUUAACCUCUUUGAAUGCAAGAGGUAGAACAGGCUGACAUUAUGCAUGCCAAAAUGCUAGGAUGCUAUUGGUCGAUAAGGACCACGUUAGGUACUGUAACAGGGCUGGGUGGGGGUGGGAGAGUUUAUUUUUGCAGGACGGGCAGGGGCUUAGUUUCUAGUUGGUCUUGUAUAGCUGCUUUCUUAUCGAUCUCGAGAGACUUAUGAUAACAGAAACAUAUUAACAAUCGUAGCUUAUGAUUUUUCUUCUUUCUUUUGCUUCUCUUUUCACAGAGAAUUGUUCUGAAAGCCCCGUGCUUAUCAGAUAUAUGCAAAAAGAAGCAGUAACUGUGAACUAAUGCUUAAAAAAAUCCAGCUGCUUCCAUCACUGUCUCAACUCCUCUUCUGCAAGAGAGAGGAGAGACCCUUCUUCUCCCAAUAUACCUCCUUACCAAAAGUCCCCCUGUCCAUCAUUUCACGUGUCUGCUUCUUCAUCAUCUGUUUGUGACUUCACUCUGUUCAUGUUGCAUUGCAUUGCCUUCUGUCCUGUCCUGCCCUGUUCUCUACACAGGCCUUGUGAGUUGAGAGGAAGGAUGCCUCUGCAAUGUGAAAAAGCAAUAUUUCAAUGCAGCCUCUCACAGAGGAGGAAGAUCAGGGCCGGAUUAAUUUGCUAGGCCACCUUUGGCCAAUCUGACCUGUAGGCCCCCUUUCAUCAAACCCACCCUAACCCAGCUGACCAUGUAAGUUUGAACAAACCUUAAUUGAGUGUAACUUGAUUUGAAAUACUCAAUGUUAGUAAACACAGGGAUUUACAGAGAGUAUAAGCCUUCCCUUAAUUUGGGAAAACCGCCUGCAGAGGUUGAUACCUUUUACCCAUGUUUUAUUUGGGCCUCUUAAACAUUGUCCAUGUUAACGUUUGAUGACACUCCUGCUGUUAGGUCAAGUCUACAAACAACAUGAAUGGCAUCACACUCUGAAGCAACCAACCUUUAAAUGUUAACGACCAUAAAUUCAGGCUGAGGGGUGUGGGAGUCUGGUUGCAGAUGGGUGUUUAACUCUUUGGCUCAAAUUUAAAGUUGGUGCUUAUUUUCCAUAGAAAUUACCUUUUUUUUUACCUUAACCAUGCAUAUAGUGUAACCAGAUUUUAAAAAAGACUGAGGUUGAAUAGAAAAAGACGAACACUUCUCAUUAAAACAAAUUCAAUAUAACUGCUAUCAGGCAAGUCAAGGUUCUGCAGAAUCCUUAAUUAAAAAUGUUUGUGUGAUUAUUUUUCUUUCACAAUAUUAUACAAAAUAUUAUACAGGUUCAUUUUGGAAAACUAUUCUGCAAUUAAUCAAAUUGUCAAAUCAUCAUUAUUAUGAAGUUGCAUUGACUUCCUUGUGAGACACUGCACUGCUGAGGCAUCCCUUGAAAUUAGUUUUGAAUCCAAAUUUCUUCUUCCUCUCAUGCUUUUCCCCUUGUUACCAACAUUUUUUUCCUUUUUAUCCAUUCACAACUCAGGUAUCUCUUCUUCAAUCUCUCCUAUCCACCCAUGUUUCCUCAAAGAUGUACUGUAUGUCCGCAAAAGGCAGGGAAAGAAAAAAAAGAGCAUUUCCUAGCUUCUGUGCUGUUUUUAUUACUGUUGUUUUGUUUUCCAAAAAUGCUGUUUCGUAUUCUUCGUCCAACUGUGCUUCCUGUCUUCUCCUUGUGUAGUCCCACCACUUUCACCCCUUUCUUAAUAAUUUUGUCCUGCUUUCUGUGAGACGUUAUACCCCCCAACCCACCAUCCAACCCCCCCAACCCAGAAGUCUCCCAUAGCAUAAACCAAAAAAAGGAAAUUGAGUGAAAGUGGAGCACCUUCCCACCUGAAAAAAAGGUUUGCAAAACACUGGAUUUCACCAAGGAGGAAGACAGGAAUGGACAUUUCAAUGAACGAAAAAGACUGUAGAUGGUGUGGGGGGGAUGAAAUGUGGGAUGAAAUGAGUGUCGACUGUCAGCUGAGCUGCGUCAGAGGGAGGAAAUGAAGGAGGAAAAGUUUGGGGAAGACAGAAAAGUGUGGUGAUGAUAUGGAGGAGAAAAGAAAGAAGCGAGACUUCUCCAUUGCUUAGUUUCUAAUCUACCCAUUUCCCUACAAGAAGAGGGAAACAAUAAACGUUAAACCACUGUUCCUCCAUCUCCCCUGAUGAGAUUCACUGAACAAAAUGGGAGGGAGAUAGAGAGAAAAGAGAAAGAAAGAAUAUGAUAGAAAUGAUCACCGUUGCUGACACUCUGACCCAGACAUUUCAUCAUCUGUGUGACACAUUCAUAUGCAACCUCUCUGACGAUCACAGUGAAGAAAAGGCUUCUUCUGGGCUGUUUUCCAGAGCAAACCCCAGCAUGGAUGCUCCCAGUGUAGCAGUCAGAGGGCCAAUGACCCACUUGGAUAUGGAACAGGAAGGCCUUCUAUGCCCACAACUUUCUAUGAUUUGGUUGAGUUUUUUCUUCUUCUUUUUCUUCUUUUUUUUAAGAAGCUUGCAACUGUGGAUUUUCUCUGUUUAAUCCAUUAUUUUGGCACUCAAAACACUAUGCAAGGUGAGGAGUGGUCCAUCGUGAUGUCUGCUCCAGCAGAGUCUGAUCCAGUACUCAAAAGGCUACGCAGGCUGAGCUCGCCUGCUAAUCUCUGCUGAGCAACAGGACUUCUAACUGCAAGCUGAAAUCUACUCAUACAUAUCAGAACACAUUAGCCAUAUCACAUGUUUUUGACAUGAUCCCGUCUAUUUGAUAUCAUCUGGAUCUUCCAGGAGACAAUAAUGAACUUGGGACAUCGAGUUUAACUGGUUGUUUAAACUACAGAGAUCUCAGCCAAUGUCAAACAACCAGUUGAAUCCAACCUGUGAUGGACUUAAACCCAAAGACAGACACACGGAUGGACGUAACAGUUGGGGGUGAACAAAACCCCUCAGAGACACAAACUAUCCCUAACUUCUGCUAAAAAAAAGAGGACCUGUGAAUGGAAACGAACAAGUCUUUCUCUCUUUCUCACUCUCUCCUUCCCUCUUGGGUCAUUAUGGUAUCUUGACCCAUCCUUUCCUGCAUCUCAGCAAUGCUGCUGCUCCUCCUCUUAAGCAAAAAUGCAUGGCAUGAAUGAAACCAAUUAACACCAGAAGAAAGAAAGUCAAAGUCACAAUGGUUGGAAAAAGAAAGAAGAGAGAAGGGAAGGAGUCCAUGAGAAAUGGGGGGAAAGACCCUAAAUGUUCUUCUUCCCAGCAAUUUCAAUGCAAAUCAUCAUCAUGUCCAUUCAAGCUACUUGUAACCCCCCAAACUGUCUGCUUAUACGUGUAAAACAGCAUAUCCUGCAGCAAACUGCACUCUCAGAAGGUAUAAUGGAUGAGGAGGCGCUCCCUUCCCCUCCUGAAGGAAACGAAGAGGAGGGGGAGGAGGUUCUGCAGACCACCAAACUCAAUAGCUUCUCCCUCUGGGUAUGUGUAGCAAGAAGACAGAAGCUUUUUAAAGAAAGCAGGAGUGGGAGAACAUCUCUGAGAAACUAUUCCAGGGACAAAAAAAAUUGCAGUGAUUUCAAAUUAAAAUGCAUUUUUAUGACAUUGUUUACCAGCAUGACUAUUUUGCAUGACUUCUGCAAGCCAUUCUGACCCCCACCAUGAAUAACAGGGCUAGUAAUUGAGAUUUUAAACAUGAAAAUUAAACAAAAAAUUAUGUUAUAUGCAAUAAAUAAAAAAAUGUAACAUAGUGUUAAAAAAUGGUUUUAAUUACAAAACCCGAAUAAUGAAGAAAAAAAAGGGUGCAACAUCUACCCUGUGUUGUUUUCUUUAAGAAGAUCCCCAACCCUCGAAAAUCCAAGAAGACUUGUCCCAACUACUGCAAGUAUUUAUUCUGCUACUACAAGUUCAUCUACUACUACUACUACUACUUCUAUUUCUCACCUGGCUGAUAUUCUGCUUCUUCCUCCUCUUCUUCUUCUCUUUCUUCUUCCUUCCUCUUGUAGCCUUUUUACAACAACACUUGUAUGUAUCACUCUCCGAUGGCAGCUGUUUGUGUCUGUGUGAUAAUCUGGACCCAGAACUAUCAAGAUUAUAUUGAACUGAACUGUGCUGUCGACUUUGAGAUGUCCAUGUUUUUCGAUUCUCUGUCGAUCCUUCCCUUGGAAUUUUGUCUUGACCCUUAUAUAUUUGUGGCAGCACUGCAUUCAAGGUUAGAAUGGUCAUCUGAAAUCUGCGGUCAGGUUAAGUUAAGUAAAAUGCAAUGUAAAGUUAUUUAAGCCACACAGUGAUCCAAGAUGGCUGCCUCUUCAUCAAGGACUAUUUUCCUACUAGCUCAGCUUUCUUUUUUUUUUGGUCAUUCAGUUAUUCUCUGUAGUUAUAUAAGUUAUGAUAACUAAAAAUUAAUUCCUGCUUGAUGAGGUCAGGGUUAGGAUUUGGAGUACGGCAGAAGGAAAACUGAUAUCCAA